rnacentral:rRNA from 1 species
UACGUAGGGUGCAAACGUUAUCCGGAUUUAUUGGGCGUAAAGAGCUCGUAGGUGGUCAUGCAAGUUGGAUAUUAAAUCUCCCGGCUCAACUGGGAAGCUGUAUUCAAAACUGCAUAACUAGAGGUAUGUAGGGGCAGAUGGAACUUACGGUGUAGCGGUAAAAUGCGUAGAUAUCGUAAGGAACGCCGAUGGUGAAGACGAUCUGCUGGACAUCACCUGACACUGAGGAGCGAAAGCGUGGGUAGCGAUCGGG